GGUUUCGUGGCCCAAUGGCAAGGCGUCUGACUACGAUAGAGAUUCAUACGAGGCUAUGACCCAGCAAUGGAUCCGUUAUGAUAAUCAGGAGAUUCUGGGUUCGACCCCCAGCGAGAUCA
rnacentral:tRNA from 1 species